rnacentral:rRNA from 1 species
GUGCCAGCCGCCGCGGUAAUACCGGCAGCCCGAGUGAUGGCCGAUCUUAUUGGGCCUAAAGCGUCCGUAGCUGGCUGCGCAAGUCCGUCGGGAAAUCCACUCGCCCAACGAGUGGGCGUCCGACGGAAACUGUCCGGCUUGGGGCCGGAAGACCCGAGGGGUACGUCCGGGGUAGGAGUGAAAUCCUGUAAUCCUGGACGGACCGCCGGUGGCGAAAGCGCCUCGGGAGGGCGGACCCGACAGUGAGGGACGAAAGCCAGGGUCUCGAACCGGAUUAGAAACCCUUGUAGUCC